CUGCAGUGAAUUUGUUAUACGUGAAUGUGUGUUCCAUGUAUCUGGUUAGCCAUGGUGAAAAGGUUCUGAAUGCUCCAGAGGAUCCGCUUCUGAUGCCCAGCUAACGUCACUCCGAUUCUGCAGAGGUCACUAGAAAUUGGAAGGAGAAAGAUCGUCCCAAUAGCCAAACCUAAAUUGAAAACCCAUGGACAAAGAGACCUGGCUUUGAGGAGACUUCUGAAGGAUGAAAAUGGCAGUUGAAUUGUACGAAAAGAACAAUUCUCUGGGUUUGUAAGAAAGAUCUGCAGAUGGUGGUUUAAAUCAAAGGUAGCCACAAUGCUGGAGUAACUCAGCGGGACAGACAGCAUCUCUGGAGAAAAGGAAUGGGUGACGUUUCAGGUCGAGACCCUUCUUCAGACUUCCUCUGGCCAAUUUCAAAGCCAAUUUUCUGGCUUUGAUCUUUUGCGUCAUUGUAAAUAAUGCUUAAAGUCUGCAUUACAAUACAUAAAUCCUACUGAAAGUAAUCAUUACAAGGCUCAUCGUUUGUAAUCUUUUGCAAUGAUGGAUUUCCUACGAUUCUGUGAACUUUGCUGCUAUUAACAAUACUGAGUUAUCUGAAGGGACAGGAGCCUAGGACGCCACUGAAAUAUCACAUAAUGAUCAGCAAUUGUGUCAAUUUGGCAUUUUAGCAACUGCUGCUAAUAAUCUCAUGCUUCCUUGCUUCAAGAGUUUAGCAAGUAUCACAGCAGAGCCUGCGACCAUUAGCGACGGUCUUUGAUCAGGCCACUAAUGAUUUUGAUUCUGGAGUUUAUCUCCUUCAAAAUAUGUCAGAUGCCCAUGCAGAAGGGACUGCGGCUAGGUUCCUCCUUGCCAGUUAAGAAAUUAUUUUUUUAAAAAAAGCUACAGUUUUGCUUAAGAUAAUGAUCGGUGAAAACUUCCUGCAUCAUUAAAACCGCAGCGUAUAAGAAGCACCCAGCGGACCCAUGCCCUACUACUGGGACACUUGGUUAUUAAAAGAAAACUAUAUUUCUUUGAAGUUGAGGAAGCUGAGGUGAGAUGCGUUCUGGUAGAGGUGUGUAAAAUUAUGAGUGGUGUCAAUUGGAGAGAAUGUAGGCAAUUCUCAUUAUAGCAGAGAGGUCUAACACUACAGACAUUAAUUUAAGGUAAGGAGUUUAUUUUUACAAUGAUUGCAUAGUCAACAUUUCCCCAGAUCAGGUAAGCUGUGAUCAUAGGUAUUCCAGAGAACUAAUUCUUCCCAUACGCUGAUUAAUAAUUCCAGGAUUCAUUGAUGCUUUUUUUAAACAAGUCCCCCUUAGGUCCCCCUGCUGAAUAAAUAAUUAAUCUGUGCUCUUCAUAGGUGUUGACGAAGAAUCCACCUACAUAUAUUGGGCUGCAACAAGUAUCAGAUCAAGUACUUGGCCAUAAUCUGAGGUCCCGCAAUCCUUAAAAAAACAGUUUGUAUUAAUAAGCCUCUUUGUCAAUUUUAAUUGUUUCCCAUCACCGCCUUGCAUUAACUUAAUCCAUAGGUUCAAGCUGAAAUGCAUCGGCCUCAACUCGAGCACCUCCAAUCCUGAGAAAUAUCCCUCAGAAAAUAUCCCUACAAUUCAGAUGAUAUUUAACCAUCUUGAUUAGUACAGGUGUCAGAGGUUAUGGGGAGAAGGCAGAAGAAUGGGGUUAGAUGGGAGUGAUAGAUCAGCCAUGAUUAAAUGGCGGAGUAUACUUGAUGGGCUAAAUGGCCUAAUUCUACUCCUAUUCCUUAUGAUCUUUUAAUACCAACAAUGUGUUGAAGCGAGUGAUAUUUUUAGUUCUAUA